UUGAAUCUCCUGGACAUUCAUGAUGUAUCAUAGACCAUCCAAUCUAUUUGAUAGUAGACUUUAUUUGACAAUUAGAGUUGAUUAAUUAGAUUUUUUAUAAUUAUAAAUUUGAAUCUAUGAACAAAUUUUUCAGUGUUAGGGACAUGUUGAAAAAUCAAAAGAGGUUUCUUUGUCUCUGCUCAAAUUUCUCAGAUGGCACACCAGAAAUACUAUCACAUAUAUCGAAGA
rnacentral:lncRNA from 1 species